CGGCCCCGGGCGGUGACGUACCGGGCUUUGUGAAUCCCGGGCUGAAGUUUGGUUGAGAAGCAGGAGGGUAAAUAAGGAUGGUGCGGAGACAAAGGGACUCUUAAAGGGGCAGCGCCGCGUUGACGGGGCCCUGAGGCGAUGGGGGUGGGAGAGACCCCUCGGGAGGCGGCGGGGCGCUGAGCCGAUGGAGGACCACGGGCCGCACCGGGCCUCACCAGAGGUCACCCAGUGGGGGACACCACCCCGCCCCCCCGGCCCCACUCCCUCGGGCUCCUCACCCUGUUGCUGCACCUCCACAGAACGCCACCACCACACGCUUCUAAACAGCGGCUCCGCACUGCGAGGAAUUAAAAUUGGUGAUUAAAAUUGAUGAUUAAUGAGGCCUCGAUGGCCUUGCUCCCUUUGUAAAGCCAAGCAGAGUGCAGCUGCUAUGGAGGUACUUCCUCAUAAGAAACGCCACGGCGUGAAACAAAGCAGAAGUGCCAGGCCCACGGAUGUGCCAGAACCCCUCGUAGGAUCACACAGCACACACAGAAUCACAGAACCACCGAGGUUGGAAAAGACCCACAGGAUCACCCGGUCCAACCAUCCACCCGUCACCAGUAGUUCUCACAUCACCAAUGCCCUCCGGAUCAGGCACCAAAAGCAGCACAGCUGCCCCUGGUUUUGAGGGGUGCGGAAGCAGAGCUUACAGGACGGCAGCUUGGCAGCCUCUCCCUCCAGGUUUCACAUUCGCUGAGCAAACGCUGUGGAGCAGCAGGAAAACAGCCUUCCAGACCGUGCCUUGACAGGCAAAAUGAGGGUGGUUUUCAAUUACGCUGGCACAAGCCAUUAAGGACAACGGCCGCAGAGCUGGAACUGCACUGAGCACAGCCCUCCCAGCAACUGCGAGGGA
rnacentral:lncRNA from 1 species